UUUCGGACAAAUGUUUAAAUAUCUCUGUGACAAUCUCUGUCAGGUCAGAUUUUUUUCGGGACAUUUUUCAGGGACUGCUUGAUUUCAUCAAGUUCGUUUUCUAUACAAAUGCUAUGGUCCGAGGAACUGGAGAGGCAAGAGUGGAGACGCUUGGCUGGAUUUGUGAUAUUAUGUUUAUCUCCUGUUUUCUCUAAAAAUGCUGAUUCCUCGGCAUUAUUGGUGUUUUUGGCUGACAGUUUAUCAACUUUAACAGUAGAAAUGAAACUGGUUAUUUGUUGUUGUUGUUGAGACAUAUUUCAUUAGGUGAUUUAAACGUUUGAAAGUUCACUUAUGUGUACAU
rnacentral:lncRNA from 1 species